AACGCCAAUAGCGGCAUGAACCUCCCUUGAUGGCAAUUAGUUACCUCUUCAAAGUAUCAAUUGGAGGGCAAGUCUGGUGCCAGCAGCCGCGGUAAUUCCAGCUCCAAUAGCGUAUAUUAAAAUUGUUGCAGUUAAAAAGCUCGUAGUUGAAUUUCUGCUGCAUUGCUUUUGCUCCUUUACGAGUCUUUGCAUUGUGGCUUAUUUCGGACUUUGUUUUACAAUGUCCGGAUGUUUACUUUGAGAAAAUUAGAGUGCUCAAAGCAGGCUUUCGCCUUGAAUAGUUUAGCAUGGAAUAAUAAAGUAGGACUUUGGUUCUAUUUUGUUGGUUUUAGGUACCAAAGUAAUGGUUAAUAGGAACAGUUGGGGGCAUUCGUAUUUAACUGUCAGAGGUGAAAUUCUUAGAUUUGUUAAAGACGAACUACUGCGAAAGCAUUUGCCAAGGAUGUUUUCAUUAAUCAAGAACGAAAGUUAGGGGAUCGAAGAA
rnacentral:rRNA from 1 species